UGGCGGUAGCCAAGGAGGAAGCCCCGGCUAACUACGUGCCAGCAGCCGCGGUAAUACGUAGGUGGCAAGCGUUGUCCGGAUUUAUUGGGCGUAAAGGGAACGCAGGCGGUUUUUUAAGUCUGAUGUGAAAGCCUUCGGCUCAACCGAAGAAUUGCAUUGGAAACUGGAAGACUUGAGUGCAGAAGAGGAGAGUGGAACUCCAUGUGUAGCGGUGGAAUGCGUAGAUAUAUGGAAGAACACCAGUGGCGAAAGCGGCUCUCUGGUCUGUAACUGACGCUGAGGUUCGAAAGCGUGGGUAGCAAACAGGAUUAGAUACCCUG
rnacentral:rRNA from 1 species